ACGUUUUUUCAACAUUGUGUUUUUCUUUGUGUUUGUUUUAAUGCCGGUACAGUGUAUUGACAUUUGGUUUUUCAAAGCAACAUUUGCAAUAAUCUGCUCAAACUAAACAAUGUUAAUGACUCAUUUGGCAGAAAUAGUUUUAUGUGCCAACAUGAGGGCUUACCUGUGUGACUUCUCUGUUGGGAGGAAAAAAAGUCAAUUCUCAGCUGUUGAUGACAAGCAUUAAGCAAACUUCUUUUGGUCCUUCUCCCUUAAAUGAUCCACUGAAUCAUAUUUGGCAUUUUGUGUAACGUGCGAGUUACUAGAGCUGCACAUACAGAGGAAAUGACAGGGGCGAGGGGGAAAGAACACACAGUUCACACCGUUUUUUAAACAAAGGAAUCCAAGUCACAUGUUGAAAAAAAUUAAUGAGAACUCCCAGCCAAGUUGGAGUGACAGGAGCCUUGAUCCCAGGGAUAACUGAAACACCACAUGAGAUAAACAGGCCCAGCAUGGUGGCGCACGCCUGUCAUCUCAGCACUUUGAGAGGCCACGGUGGUGGAUUGCUUGGACUCAGGAGUUCAAGAACAGCCUGGGCAACAUGACGAAAUGCCAUCUCUAUGAAAAAUACAAAAAUGUUAGCCAGAUAUGGUGGCACAUACCUGUAGUCCCAGCUACUUGGGAGGUAGAGAUUGCAGUGACCUGAUAUCGUGCCACUGCUCUCCAGCGUGGGUGGCAGAGUGAGCCCCUGUCUUAAAAACUAAGAAUAAUAAAUUAAAUUUAAUAAUGCCCCCAAAGACAUUAACUAUCAGGCAACAAAAUACAGUUUUCCAUGAGGAGUUCUAAGGGAUGAUGUGUAAUGGUAUUGAAAUACAGUUAGAAUGAAUAACAUCAAGUAUGGUGGCACAACAGGAGACCACAGACAAUAAUAACUUAGUGUGCAUUUUAAAAUAACUGAAAGAGUAUAAUUGUAUUGUUUGUAACACAGGAAAGGAUAAAUGAUUGAGGUGAUUAAUAACCCAUUCACCCUGAUGUGAUUAUUACACAUUGUAUGCCUAAAUCAAAAACAUUUCAUAUACCCUAUAAAUAUAUGCAUCUAUAUACCCACAAAAAUUAAAAAUUAAAAAACCAAGACAGGUUCUAAAAAUUGCCCAGUGGACUUCCUGUAGAAACUUUCCAGGCUGUGGCACAGGAAGGAGAACACCAGGUAGAUCCUGGCAGACUCCCUUAGUAUAGAGAAGACAGAACUGGAGGUCCAGGGGGCUAAGACAGAGAGCCUGCAGAGUACAGAGAGGACUGCUGAGGCCUGCGGAGCCUGAUAUGGCAGUCACAGCCAUGAGGCUGAGGAGCUCACCACCCGAAGGGAUGAGAAGAAAGAGUCCCCAAGCUUACGGAGGGCAGGGGAUGGAGCCUGCUCUCAAAACCUCGCUAUUUACCGGGCAAGGAUUAAAUUACUCAGAAUGAUGUUACCCAGUAUUGGGGAAAAAUUGGCCACAGACGAAUUGUUGCUAUCAUGCCACCAACAAAGCUUAAAAGCAAGACCUGAAAGGAUGAAACCACUCACAAGUAGCUUGUCAGAGAGACCAAAGGUCAAGGAUAUUCUCAUGAAUACAAACGUUAAGCACCCAAUAAGGUAAAUCUCACAAUUUCCUGCAUCUGAUAAAAAAUUACCAAGCGUGCAAGGGAGCAGGAAAAUACAACUUAUGUGAGGAGAAAAAUCAUCAGUUGAAACUGACUCAGAAAUGAUACAAGUGGUGGAAGUACUCAUCAAGAACUUUAUUAAAAUGAUUAUUUUAAUAAAGCUAGAAGAGAACUUGAAUGUAUUAGGUAAAGCCUGGAAGAUAGUUAAAUGCCCAAAUCAAAGUUCUAAAGAUGAAAAACACAGUGUCAGAGAUCAAAAAUACAUUGGAUGGGGUUAAUGGCAGACUGGACAUUGCAGGGAAAAAAGAUGAGUGAACUUGAAAACAUAAUAAAAGAAACUAGGAGUAAAUGGAAAGAAGACUGUAGCAAUGAAGAGAGCAUCAGAGAGGUGAGCUGUGGGACGACCCCAGAUGUCCUAAUAUCUGCAUGAUCAGAGCCACUCAAGGAGAGGAAUGUGGGGAUUUUGAAGAAAUAAUGGCCAAAAAAUUUCCAAGUUUGUUGAAAAGUAUAAAUCCACCGAUUCAAGAUGCUUAAAAACCCUAAGCAAAAGAAACAUGCGGAAAACUACGCUAGAGUAAGUUGGUCAAGACCAGAGAUGAAGAGAAAAUGUUUUAAAAGCAGCUGGGGUGAGGGUGAGGGUGGAGGGACCAGAGACGUGUUUCGUACAGGGAAAAAGAUAAGCGUAGCUACAGAUGUCUUCUAGGAGUCACUACAAGCUCGAAGACAGUGGAUUUUCUACAAGUACAAAUUAUUGUCAACAUUUUUUUUUUACCCAGCAGAAAUAUUUUUUCAAGAAAGAAGUUGAAAUAGACUUAUUUAGAUAAAUAAAAACUGAAAGAACUCAUCACCACAGACCUGCACAACCGAAACCUUAAAGGAAUUUCUUUAAAUUGAAGGAAAAUUAUACCAGAUGGAAUCAUGAAUCUACCAAAGAAAUGUUGAUGAUGUGAUGUUUUUCCUUACCCUAGAGAUCUUUUAAAGAGAUAACUGAAUAUUUCAUGGACACAAUACAAGUAAAUUAAGGCGUUUAAAACACACACAGAAGUUAAUUGUAGCACAAAGACUGUGGGAGGAAAUGGAAGUAGACUGUUGUGAAGUUAUAUUCGGGUUGUAGUAUGUGACCUCAGAAUAGACUGAUACUCCACACACCCCCAAGGCAACUGGUAAAAUAAUACAAAAGAGUUUUAUCUGAUGAACCAACAAAGGAGCUGCAGUGAAGUCAUAAAACAUAAUCAGUUCUGUUGUACUGGCCUGAGCAUAGAAAGUCAACACCAAGACAAACAUGUGCCAGAUUGCAGGGUCUUUAUUGCUGGCGGCCAGGGAGGACUUGAGUCUCUCUAACCCGUGCCCCGAAAGCAGGAGAGCAGUUUCAAGAGAAAGCCGAGGUAUGGUUGAGGUGUAUGCAGUUUUAUGGGGCUUUUACCAUGUCACAGUUCAUCUAAAAGAAAGCAAAGAAGAAGAAAACAGCAAACAACAGGUAAAUAAAUAGCAAGAUACAGAUUUAAACCUUAAGACACACACAUAUGUUUUUUAGAGCUGGGGUCUUGCUUUCGUCACCCAGGCUGGAGUGCAGUGGUAUGACCGUGACUCACUGCAGCCUUGAAUUCCUGGACUGAAGCAAUCUUCCUGCCUUAGCCUCCUGACUAGCUAGGACUGCACGUGCAUGUGCACAUGCUACCAAACCCGGCUAAUUUAUUUUUAUUUUUUUGUAGAGGUGGGGUCUUGCUGUGUUGCCCAGACUGGUCUCAAAUUCCUGGCCUCAAGCAGUCCUCCUGUCUCGGCCUCCCAAAGCACUGGCAUUAUAGGUGUGAGCCUCUGCACCCCAGCUGCCAGAUACGAUUAUAGCCACAUCAGAUGUAAAUGAUUCAGACAGCCCAGUUUAAAGUCAGAAGUUGUCAGAAUGGAUAGAAGAGCAGGAUCAAACCAUACGCUGCCUUCAGGGGUCCCACUUUAAAUAGAGACACAGAAAUGGGCUAAAAGCAAAAAGACAGGAAGAGACAUACCAUGCUAAUGUGCAUCAAAGCAAAGCUAGAAUGCCUGUGCUAAUGUCAUACAAAGUAGAAUUCACGGUAGAGAAUAUUGACGGACAAAAACGGGAGUAUCCAGACGAUGUAGUGGAUACUUCAUCAAGAGGACAUCAUAAUCCCAAACCUUUGCACACUUCAUAAUAGAUCUGGAUACGUGAAAUUAAAAUAAAGCUGCAUGGAGAAACAGACAUGUCCACAGUUUAACUAGAGUUUGAAUAUCCCUCCUUCAAUAAUUGGUAGAACAAGUAUAUUAAAAAAAUUGAUAGCAGAUUUGAACAACUGUGUCAACUAACUUGACCUAAUUGACAUUUUUUAGAACACUCUACUGGACAAAUUUUACAUGCUUUUCAAAUGAAUGAGGAUACCUGCCAACAUAGAUCAUGAUUUGGACCAUGAAACAAAUCUUACACAUCAGAAGGAUUCAAGUUAUGUAAAAUAUAUAUUCUCUGUCCACAGGGAAAUUAAAUUAGAAAUUAAUAACAGAUCCCUGGAAAAACCCCAGUACUUGGAAAAUGAAACGUUUCUAAAUAACUGAUGAAUCAAAGAGUGAAUCAGAAAGUAAAUUACAGUUUUGAAGUGUAAAAAUGAAAACAGUGUACCAAAACGUGUGAGAUCCAGCAAAAGCAGAACUUAAAAGGAAAUUUAUAGCAUGAAAUGCCUAUUUUAGAAAGAAAAAUGGUCUCAGAACCAUGACCUUAGUGUCCAUCUUAGAAAACUUACAAUAGGCCAGGCGUGGUGGCUCACGCUUGUAAUCCCAGCACUCUGGGAGGCCGAGGCGGGUGGAUCACAGCAGCAGGAGAUCAAGACCAUCCUGGCUAACAUGGUGAAACUCUGUCUCUACUAAAAAUAAAAAAAAAUUAGCCGGGUGUGGUGGCGGGCACAUGUAGUCCCAGCUACUCGGGAGGCUGAGGCAGGAGAAUCACUUGGACCUGAGAGGUGGAGGUUGCAGUGAGCCAAGAUCGCACCACUGCACUCCAGCCUGGGUGACAGAGUGAGACUUUGUCUCAAAAAAAAAAAAAAAAAAAAAGAAAA